GCUUGUUGGCCACCUGUAUAUCCAUCUGUAUGACUUGUUUUAUUAGAUCUUCCUUAGAACUUCCUUAAAACAAUGGACCAUAAGACACUGCUGAAGAAAUGGGUCCUGGGAGACACCAUCAACAUGACAAAUCACCAUUUCCAUGGUUUUGAUUGCAGUCUUUAACCACAUGCCUGAACAGCUGGGAACCACUGAAGUAUUGGUAGCCGACUGGGCAGCUGGCCAGCCAACCCCGAAAGCCAGGCAUCUAAUGAGAAGAACCACCAUCCUAAUUCCAAAUGUCACAGCACAGAAGUCAUUCUAUAAACUGGAGAAGGAUUUUUGGAGUAUACGCUUGGUGAACAAGUUUUAAUAACAACAAUUGCCAUAAUAACUGACAUUUAUAUAGCACUGUGCAAUUUAGAGAGUACUUUCACAUGUAUCAUCUCAUUGGUUAACAGCCCCGUGAUAUGGGUGUUAUUAUGAGCCCAUUUGAUAGAUACAUAAAACUCAAAAUGAUUAAGAGGCUGACUCAUAACCACACAAGUAGAAGGUGUGGUCAGUGUGAUUGGAAACUCUGGCCUCUGAAUACAGGGCAUUAGCUGGUAUCUUGAGGGUUCUCCAGAGUCUAGGGUGUGAGUUCCCACUGGCCUGAGGGCUCAGUGGCCCCAGUGUCCCUUUUCUGCAGUGCCUCUUUAGCAUGGGUCAACAAUGGAGGAAGAAAGGAAAGAUUUAGGAAGUAGGGGAGGAGUUCCCAACGUGGCUCAGCAGAAACGAAUCUGGCUAGCAUCCAUGAAGUUCGAUCCCUGGCCUCACUCAGUGGGUUAAGGAUCCGGCAUUGCCGUGAGCUGUGGUGUAGGCCAGUGGCUACAGCUCUGAUUUGACCCCUAGCCUGGGAACCUCCAUAUGCUGCGGGUGCAGCCCUCAAAAGAAAAAAAAAAGAAAAAGAAAAAAGAAAGAAAUUCCCAGGCUAGGGGUCAAAUCAGAGCUACAGCUGCCAGCCACAGUCACAGCAACGUAGGGUCUGAGCCGUGUUUGCGACCUACACCAGAGCUCACGGCAGUGUGGGAUUCUUAAUCCACUGAGCAAGGCCAGGAAUCGAACCUGCAUCCUCAUGGAUCCUAGCUGGGUUUGUUAACCACUGAGCCAUGACAGGAACUCCUAGCCUGGGAACUUCUGUAUGCUGUAAGUACGGCCCUAAAAACAAACAAACAAACAAACACAAGAAGUAGGAGAGAAGAAAGAAAUCCUGGUGAAGGAAUACAACGU
ensembl:lncRNA